UCUCCUCAAAAAUCAGAGGACUGUUUGCUCAUCCCCUUCUUCUGUGUUGGUAAAAGAUGCAGGCAGACUCCAUCCUUUGAUCCACUCUGGUGGUGUGAUGUGCCAUAACACAAUGGAUGUAAACGGUCGUAUCCAGGUACUGUCCCAGUAUACAUGUUUUCCUCAACUAAGAAGCCCUAAGGGAAACUUGCCCUUCUCACAGUUCAAGUUUUAUUUCCUUUAAAACAUAUUAAAACUCUGUGGAGAUAGAGCUGCAGGACCUAAUUUUGAUGCUCUGAAUCACCUGUGGAAAUCUUACCUCCUUUGGCUGCUGUUUAAAGGAUGAAUUUAUGAGCACCUGGAUAUAAAAUGAAGCUUUUGUCUUGAACGCCAGUCUCACAACUUCAACAAUAUUAGUUUCUGAAUAAUGUUUUUCUUUCUCUUUUGCAAAGCCUUGCCUUUGCCUGUGACUCCAUUUGUGUAUUACAUAGUGUUCAGGUGGAAAUUUUCUCAUAUAUUGCUUCCAGUCUAAUAGCUUUUCUGCAUCUAUUGAUAAAUCCUAGGAGCUGUUGCCCUGACACAUGAAGGAUCUCAUCUCAGAAGUGUGUUUUAGAAGAACGUGUUCCUAUUCACCAAUGUUAUAUUUAAAACAAAAUAAAGAGAUUGAGUUGCUUCGGGCACUCACCUUUGCCUUUAGCAUGAUUUCUCAAGCACUGUAAGCCACACAAAAGGACAAAGGAUAUUUCAGUGCCAGGCCAGAGAGACUUGAGCCAUGAAAUACCUUUCCAGGAUGAAGAUCACAGAUAUUGAGAUCACAUGCUGAAAAGAAAAGGUAGUUUUCAACUCAUAUUUUCAUGACCCACUAGAACACGUUAGCCAAGAAAUGUUUCAAAGCCUACUCAUCAAAGCAAAGAAGGCAAUAAACAGAUUUGGUUGUACACUGUCUCUCUUGCUGCCAUCUACUGUUUUCCUGUGGAAGCAUGGAAGAUUUCAAAUACUGUUCCAUUAUUUUUCCUUCUACCUACUACAUUAAUCCUGCCUACAGUUUGGCAAAAUUUCACAGAGCAUGUGAGGAGACACCAUUCAAGCUGAUAUACUCACUCCGCGGCUCCAGAAAAUAGCAAGCAUAGCUCUUGCCUUUGCAGAGUUAUUGACAGUAGCUUCUGGUACUGGAGAUGCCUGGCUCAGAUCGGUGUUGCUCGUGAGCACCUGUGGGAAAACCAGCCCCUGGCAGGAAAGGUUAAUGCUAGCUAAUGCUAGCUACACACCAGAAAUGCUCUUCAGAAGUUGCUCUGUUCAUCCUUUGCCAGCAGAAGGGCACUGGGAAAGCACCAGGUGCUGCUCAGAAGUGAGGGACUGCAAAAGUUCUUGUGCAUGUUGUGCAGCCUCACGUAGAGAUGGAUGCUGUUAAAUUUUGCUCAUUAUCU